rnacentral:lncRNA from 1 species
UGGCAAGCCAUGAUGAGGGCCGCUACCCUGCUCCACUCUCUGCAAUGGAUUCCACAUGGCUCCACCACUCUCUAGCAAGCCACGACGAGGGCCGCUACCCUGCUCCACUCUCUGCAAUAGAUUCCAUGUGGCUCCACUACUCUCUGGCAAGUCGUGACAAUGGCCACCACUCCACUCUCUGUAACCAACUCCACGUGGCCCUGAGCGACCCCUGACGCCACUACUUUCCAUAACAAACUCCAAGCAGCUCUGAACAACCCACGACUAGGUGGUUACAGACGUCGCUGUCAAUCGGUUACGCUAUCCGUCUAUAAAUAAGGACCCUC